AUGGUGAGGAUGUCCAGACCAUUAUUCCUCGAUUGGGCCUGGAGACCCCUCUGCAGCCCCUCCCAAUCUCUCCCACUGACCUACGGACCAGAAGGCUGGAUUUUGCAAUGGAAGGGAACUUGCAGGCAGCAGACAGCUCUGCACUGUCCCUUUGAUUUUCCUCAGGCACCUCUGAGAGGGAGACACACUCUCAGCCAAGUACCCAACAAGGGACAUGAGAAGGCUUCUGCUGUGCAGCUGCCAGAGAAACAGGGGACAGAUCAAAGCAGGAGAGGACCAACAUCUGCGGUAACCAAAGCAAGGACAAGUUACCCUGAGUCAGAAACCUUCAUUGUGUAUUUGUGCAGUUACUUUUGGAACUCAAGUAAAGGAGUUUACAUGUCAGGUAAAGAU
rnacentral:lncRNA from 1 species